rnacentral:rRNA from 1 species
AGAGUUUGAUCCUGGCUCAGGAUGAACGCUGGCUGUGUGCCUAAUACAUGCAUGUUGAACGAAGCUAAAAGUGCUUGCACUUUAAGACUUAGUAGCGAAUGGGUGAGUAACACGUACUUAACCUACCCCCAAGUUUGGGAUAACGUUUGGAAACGAACGCUAAUACCGAAUACGUAUUUUUAUCGCAUGAUAGAAAUAUAAAAGGAGCUUCGGCUUCGCUAGGGGAUGGGAGUGCGCUACAUUAGUUAGUUGGUAGGGUAAUGGCCUACCAAGACUAUGAUGUAUAGCGGGGCCGAGAGGCUGAUCCGCCACACUGGGACUGAGAUACGGCCCAGACUCCUACGGGAGGCAGCAGUAGGGAAUUUUCCACAAUGAACGAAAGUUUGAUGGAGCGACACAGCGUGCAGGAUGAAGGUCUUCGGAUCGUAAACUGCUGUUAUAAGAGAAGAAAAACCCUGGUAGGUAAUGACCAGGACUUGACAGUACCUUAUCAGAAAGCGACGGCUAACUAUGUGCCAGCAGCCGCGGUAAU